UACGUAGGAGACGAGCGUUGUCCGGAGUUACUGGGCGUAAAGGGUGCGCAGGUGGCCGCGCGCGUGGGGGGUGAAAUCGCCUGGCUUAACUGGGCGGGGGCCUUCCAGACGGCGUGGCUUGAGCAGCGGAGGGGGGCGUGGAAUUCCGGGUGGAGCGGUGAAAUGCGUAGAGAUCCGGAGGAACACCGACGGCGCAGGCAGCGCCCUGGUCGCUUGCUGACACUGAGGCACGAAAGCUGGGGGGAGCAAACAGG
rnacentral:rRNA from 1 species